rnacentral:rRNA from 1 species
GACGAACGCUGGCGGCGUGCUUAGCACAUGCAAGUCGAACGAUGAAGCCUAGCUUGCUAGGUGGAUUAGUGGCGAACGGGUGAGUAAUACGUGAGUAACCUACCUUUAACUCUGGGAUAAGCCUGGGAAACUGGGUCUAAUACCGGAUACGACCAAUCUCCGCAUGGGGUGUUGGUGGAAAGCGUUAUGUAGUGGUUAUAGAUGGGCUCACGGCCUAUCAGCUUGUUGGUGAGGUAACGGCUCACCAAGGCGACGACGGGUAGCCGGCCUGAGAGGGUGACCGGCCACACUGGGACUGAGACACGGCCCAGACUCCUACGGGAGGCAGCAGUGGGGAAUAUUGCACAAUGGGCGCAAGCCUGAUGCAGCGACGCCGCGUGAGGGAUGACGGCCUUCGGGUUGUAAACCUCUGUUAGCAGGGAAGAAGAGAGAUUGACGGUACCUGCAGAGAAAGCGCCGGCUAACUACGUGCCAGCAGCCGCGGUAAUACGUAGGGCGCGAGCGUUGUCCGGAAUUAUUGGGCGUAAAGAGCUUGUAGGCGGUUUGUCGCGUCUGCUGUGAAAGGCCGGAGCUUAACUCCGUGUAUUGCAGUGGGUACGGGCAGACUAGAGUGCAGUAGGGGAGACUGGAAUUCCUGGUGUAGCGGUGGAAUGCGCAGAUAUCAGAGGAACACCGAUGGCGAAGGCAGGUCUCUGGGCUGUAACUGACGCUGAGAAGCGAAAGCAUGGGGAGCGAACAGG